CAUGGGCACGUUUUAUAAUUAUCGAAAUGGUGUAUGUUGUGUUUAUUCUUUAAACGGUGUAUGAUGUAGUUCACAUCUUUUAAAAAGUUAAAAAAUACAAGAUAUCUCUUCAAAUCCUUUUAGAAAUAGAUGAAGUCUACAUAAAUGAGAUGAAUAUGCAAAUAACUAAAGUCAUGUAUUUCCUCUAAAUACUUCUUUUUCUCUCCCAGCACCUGAUGAAUAUUUCCAAUGAAGGCACAAGUGUUCAUAUUUUACCCCCACAAACCAAAUACUUUGAGAUCAACUAUAUAAGAAAGGAACACCACCUGGUCCCUGGCUUGUCCCUCACGGUCACCGUUACAUUUUCUCCAGAUGAGUGGCGAUACUACUAUGACUGCAUCCGCAUUCACUGUAAGGUGGGUCUCUUAACAAUUGCUUUUUUUUUUUAUGGUGGUUUA
rnacentral:lncRNA from 1 species